UUAUUUUGAUUUUUUUUGUGUCUUUCUUUUUUUUUUUCUUUGAGACAGAGGCUUGCUCUGUUGCCCAGGCUAGAGUGAAGUGGCAUGAUCUUGGCUCACUGCAAGCUCUGCCUCCCGGGAGAUGGGGUUUCACUGUGUUAGCCAGGACGAUCUCGAUCCUCUGACCUCGUGAUCCGCCUGCCUCAGCCUCCCAAAGUGAUGGGAUUACAGGCUUGAACAGGACUUCUUCAAGGAGAACUACAAACCACUGCUCAAGGAAAUAAGAGAGGACACAAAGUAAAGACUUUGUUCAUGUAUAUUUGAUGUUUUCAUUUAUCAGUAACAUUGGCUACUGAGUAUGUAGGCAUUCAUAGAAACAGACAGUGAGUCUUUUGUGCAAUUUUUCUGAAUGUUUCCCAUCUGCUGCAGAAAUGAAUAAGUCUUCAGGGACCAGAUGGGCGCAGUGGCUCACGCCUGUAAUCCCAGCACUUUGGGAGGCUGAGGUGGGUGAAUCACGAGGUCUGGAGUUUGAGACCAGCCUGUCCAAUAUGGGAUUAAAGACUUAAAUGUAAGACCUAACACCAUGAAAACCCUAGAAGAAAACCUAGGCAUACCAUUCAGGUCAUAGGCAUGGGCAAAGACUUCAUGAUUAAAACAUCAAAGGUCACUGAUCACAGAUCACCAUAACAGAUAUAAUCAUAAUCAACGAGUUUAAAAUAUUGUGAGAAUUACCAAAAUGUGAGACAGAGACACAAAGCGAGCACAUACUGUUGGAAAAAUAGUGCUGGUAGACUUGCUCAAUAGACACAGGGUUGCCACAAACCUUCAGUCUGUAAAAAGCGUAACGUUUGUGAGAUGCAAUAAACAAAGCCCAAUAAAAUGAGCUAUGCAUGUACAGUGUUUUAUUCUGAGACUUUUAUCUUUCUGGGGCUGUACCAUGGGGAAGGAUAACAGUCUCUUUUUCUCCCAGAUUCCACAGACAGAUCUGAGUUUAUUGUCCAUGAGGACUUGCUCACAGACAGGAACAAUUCCUAUUACUGCAUAACAAAUUAAGUUUAAAAUUUAGUAACUUAAACAACCAUUUAUUAAUUUCAUAGAAUUUAGUGGGUCAAGAAUUUGGACAGGCAUAACAGGCAUACUGGCUCUGCUUGAUGGUGACUGGUGUCUCGGCUGGGGACACUCAAUGGCUGGAGGUGACUCAAUGGCUUUGUGCUGGAAUCAUCUGAAGACUUGUCAAUUCACAUGUCUGGAGUCUGGGUUGGGAUGAGUUCAAGAGUAUGACUGCUGACCAGUUCUCCUGCUGUGAUCUUUCCAUCUGG
rnacentral:lncRNA from 1 species